UACGAAGGGAGCAGUGGGGAAUAUUGCACAAUGGGCGCAAGCCUGAUGCAGCCAUGCCGCGUGUAUGAAGAAGGCCUUCGGGUUGUAAAGUACUUUCAGUCGUGAGGAAGGUGUUAAGGUUAAUAACCUUAGCAAUUGACGUUAGCGACAGAAGAAGCACCGGCUAACUCCGUGCCAGCAGCCGCGGUAAUACGGAGGGUGCGAGCGUUAAUCGGAAUUACUGGGCGUAAAGGGCACGCAGGCGGUUAAUUAAGUUGGAUGUGAAAUCCCCGGGCUUAACCUGGGAAUGGCAUUCAAGACUGGUUAGCUAGAGUCUUGUAGAGGGGGUAGAAUUCCAUGUGUAGCGGUGAAAUGCGUAGAGAUGUGGAGGAAUACCGGUGGCGAAGGCGGCCCCUGGACAAAGACUGACGCUCAUGUGCGAAAGCGUGGGGAGCAAACAGGGAUUAGAUACC
rnacentral:rRNA from 1 species